GACGAGCCACACAAACGUUAUUCGGAAUUACUGGGCUUAAAGGGUGCGUAGGCUGCGCGAAAAGUUGGGUGUGAAAUCCCUCGGCUUAACCGAGGAACUGCGCCCAAAACUAUCGUGCUCGAGGGAGAUAGAGGUGAGCGGAACUUACGGUGGAGCGGUGAAAUGCGUUGAUAUCGUAAGGAACACCCGUGGCGAAAGCGGCUCACUGGGUCUCUUCUGACGCUGAUGCACGAAAGCUAGGGGAGCAAACGGG
rnacentral:rRNA from 1 species